rnacentral:pre_miRNA from 1 species
UCUCAUGGAUGAGCAAAGAAAGUGAUUUCUUGAGAUGGAAUUUAGUGCUGGUGAAGAUACUAUGAA